rnacentral:tRNA from 1 species
GCGAGAGUAGCUCAGUUGGUAGAGCGCAACCUUGCCAAGGUUGAGGUCGCGGGUUCGAGUCUCGUCUCUUGCU